rnacentral:rRNA from 1 species
UGACCUCUGACCUCAAAUCAGGUAGGAUUACCCGCUGAACUUAAGCAUAUCAAUAAGCGGAGGAAAAGAAACUAACAAGGAUUCCCCUAGUAACUGCGAGUGAAGCGGGAAGAGCUCAAAUUUAAAAUCUGGCAGUCUUUGGCUGUCCGAGUUGUAGUCUGGAGAAGUGCUUUCCGCGCUGGACCGUGUAUAAGUCUCUUGGAACAGAGCGUCAUAGAGGGUGAGAAUCCCGUCUUUGACACGGACUACCAGUGCUUUGUGAUGCGCUCUCAAAGAGUCGAGUUGUUUGGGAAUGCAGCUCAAAAUGGGUGGUGAAUUCCAUCUAAAGCUAAAUAUUGGCGAGAGACCGAUAGCGAACAAGUACCGUGAGGGAAAGAUGAAAAGCACUUUGGAAAGAGAGUUAAACAGUACGUGAAAUUGCUGAAAGGGAAACGCUUGAAGUCAGUCGCGUUGGCCGGAACUCAGCCUUGCUUUUGCUUGGUGCAUUUUCUGGUCGACGGGUCAGCAUCAGUUUUGAUCAUCGGAAAAAGGCCAGAGG